CCUACGGGUGGCAGCAGUGGGGAAUAUUGCACAAUGGGCGCAAGCCUGAUGCAGCCAUGCCGCGUGUGUGAAGAAGGCCUUCGGGUUGUAAAGCACUUUCAGCGGGGAGGAAGGCGUUAAGGUUAAUAACCUUGGCGAUUGACGUUACCCGCAGAAGAAGCACCGGCUAACUCCGUGCCAGCAGCCGCGGUAAUACGGAGGGUGCAAGCGUUAAUCGGAAUUACUGGGCGUAAAGCGCACGCAGGCGGUCUGUCAAGUCGGAUGUGAAAUCCCCGGGCUCAACCUGGGAACUGCAUUCGAAACUGGCAGGCUAGAGUCUUGUAGAGGGGGGUAGAAUUCCAGGUGUAGCGGUGAAAUGCGUAGAGAUCUGGAGGAAUACCGGUGGCGAAGGCAGCUACCUGGACGACUUGUGACGCUGAGGCGCGAAAGCGUGGGGAGCAAACCGGAUUAGAUACCGGGUAGUC
rnacentral:rRNA from 1 species